rnacentral:rRNA from 1 species
AGUGAACGCUGGCGGUAGGCCUAACACAUGCAAGUCGAACGGCAGCACAGUAAGAGCUUGCUCUUACGGGUGGCGAGUGGCGGACGGGUGAGGAACACAUCGGAAUCUACUUUUUCGUGGGGGAUAACGUAGGGAAACUUACGCUAAUACCGCAUACGACCUACGGGUGAAAGCAGGGGAUCUUCGGACCUUGCGCGAUUGAAUGAGCCGAUGUCGGAUUAGCUAGUUGGCGGGGUAAAGGCCCACCAAGGCGACGAUCCGUAGCUGGUCUGAGAGGAUGAUCAGCCACACUGGAACUGAGACACGGUCCAGACUCCUACGGGAGGCAGCAGUGGGGAAUAUUGGACAAUGGGCGCAAGCCUGAUCCAGCCAUACCGCGUGGGUGAAGAAGGCCUUCGGGUUGUAAAGCCCUUUUGUUGGGAAAGAAAAGCAGCAGGUUAAUACCCCGCUGUUCUGGCGGUACCCAAAGAAUAAGCACCGGCUAACUUCGUG